rnacentral:rRNA from 1 species
GUGGGGAAUAUUGCACAAUGGGCGAAAGCCUGAUGCAGCGACGCCGCGUGAGCGAAGAAGUAUUUCGGUAUGUAAAGCUCUAUCAGCAAGGAAGAUAAUGACGGUACUUGACUAAGAAGCCCCGGCUAACUACGUGCCAGCAGCCGCGGUAAUACGUAGGGGGCAAGCGUUAUCCGGAUUUACUGGGUGUAAAGGGAGUGUAGGUGGCAUGGCAAGUCAGAAGUGAAAGCCCGGGGCUCAACCCCGGGACUGCUUUUGAAACUGCCAAGCUAGAGUGCAGGAGAGGUAAGUGGAAUUCCUAGUGUAGCGGUGAAAUGCGUAGAUAUUAGGAGGAACACCAGUGGCGAAGGCGACUUACUGGACUGUAACUGACACUGAGGCUCGAAAGCGUGGGGAGCAAACAGGAUUAGAAACCCUAGUAGUCC